CCCUUAGAUGUUCUGGGCCGCACGCGCGCUACACUGACGAAUGCAACGAGCUUAUAACCUUGCCCGAAAGGUCUGGGUAAUCUCCAAAUUUCGUCGUGAUGGGGAUAGAUUAUUGCAAUUAUUAAUCUUCAACGAGGAAUGCCUAGUAAGCGCAAGUCAUCAGCUUGCGUUGAUUACGUCCCUGCCCUUUGUACACACCGCCCGUCGCUCCUACCGAUUGAAUGGUCCGGUGAAGCGUUCGGACCGUGGCCUUUGGACGGUUCGCCGUCUGUUGGCUGCGGGAAGUUCGUUAAACCUUAUCAUUUAGAGGAAGGAGAAGUCGUANCA
rnacentral:rRNA from 1 species